ACUUGAAUUAAAGUUGAAUAAUAAUUAUUUGAAUUUAUUCCACUGUGAUGUAGUGAUAUGGUGAUGAGAUGCCUUGCAUGCUUAUGGAGAGAGUUCUUCAUAAGUAUUGCGGCGGUUGCCGCGACCUCCUGCUUGCGAUCUCGGGCCGGGGGCGUGACAAAUUAAUAUGGUAUCAGAGCAUUAGUGGAUAAAUUAUGACACAUAGAAUUAGACAUAGUAUGAGUGUAGGUGGGUAAACAUUAGAAAUAUUGGGACGUUAAAGUAUGAGCAUCAUAAUAAAUCCAUCCUAACAAAUAGAUAAAUGAAUCUAAUAAGGUUUUACUACUAUAAGGUUAUCAUGCCUCCCCGUAGAAUGACAAGAACUACUCAAGAAAUUGCAAGAGAGACAUCACAACCACAGGAUGGUAGCACUUUCCAUCUGACCAGUGGCACCCCUUAGGAGGAGGGAGUCGUAGAUCCUAAUG
rnacentral:lncRNA from 1 species